rnacentral:lncRNA from 1 species
UGGUCCACACAUAAAAUAUACCAACACUACCGAUAACUGAUGAGCUAAAAAAAAAAAAAAAAAAAAAAAAAAGUUGCAAAAGGAUGAGAUGGUGUGUGAGGGGAGCGGGCAGUGCUGGCCGACAGGGGAGAAACGGUCUUACCAGCUAACCCUCUGCAAAGAGGCCUGUUAGCUCCCCUCAGGCUGUGCAGGAGAUGGCAAAAUCCUGACAGGUGUCCUCCUGAGGGAGAUACCAGAGAGGUGGGCCAGUGUUAUGAGUUGUCUGGCUGGGCCCUGGUGCCCAGGGGAAAGGCAGUAGGGAAGAAGAAUUUGGGGGUCUCCAAGCCCCUGAGGCAGGGGAAGGUGGAGGGGACAAA